rnacentral:rRNA from 1 species
GUCAAGUCAUCAUGGCCCUUACGUCCAGGGCGACACACGUGCUGCAAUGGCCGGUACAGAGGGCAGCGAGGCCGCGAGGCGGAGCGAAUCCCAGAAAACCGGUCCAAGUUCGGAUCGCAGUCUGCAACUCGACUGCGUGAAGCCGGAAUCGCUAGUAAUCGCGGAUCAGCCAUGCCGCGGUGAAUACGUUCCCGGGCCUU